rnacentral:lncRNA from 1 species
CACACUGAAUUCUCUCUCCCAUUCCCAAACACAACCCCACUGCAGACAAUGACCUGUGAUGGAUUAAUUUGCUAUUUUUGAGCAAUGACUUCACUCAUUUCUUGCGUUCCCUACCUCAAAUUCCCUGCAGGAAUCAAAGCCUGGAGAGUCUUAGACCUGGAGACCAGAGCUGCAGGCAGACUUGGCAAGCUCCUGACAUCCAUCUCAGCUCCAUGUUCAGCUGAUAUAAAUGAGAAAUGUUUGAUUAUGGACCAGGACUUCAGAUCUCCCACCACAGUGUAGACUUGGGCUCAGAUCAGUAAAACCAAAGAUUGCAGGUUACAAGUUUCAAAUUGCAAGUAAAUACUCUUCUGUUUCCUUUUUUUUUUUCUUCUUUUCUGUCCAAAUGUUAGUUAGCAAAGCCAGUGAAAUUUUGUUUUGUGAGGCAUGAAAUUAAAGCAAAC